UACGUAGGGGGCAAGCGUUGUUCGGAAUUACUGGGCGUAAAGGGCUCGUAGGCGGCCAACUAAGUCAGACGUGAAAUCCCUCGGCUUAACCGGGGAACUGCGUCUGAUACUGGAUGGCUUGAGUUUGAGAGAGGGAUGCGGAAUUCCAGGUGUAGCGGUGAAAUGCGUAGAUAUCUGGAGGAACACCGGUGGCGAAGGCGGCAUCCUGGACCAACACUGACGCUGAGUGAGCGAAAGCCAGGGGAGCAAACGGG
rnacentral:rRNA from 1 species